rnacentral:lncRNA from 1 species
UCUGAUCUUAUUGAAGAUCCACUUACACCCUAUGGGCUUUAUCCUUUCGAGUGGAUCAACGAGUAUCCAUACACCAUUGACCAUUAUGAAUUUUAUUUCAGACUUAAUGGCUCUAAGUCAUUAAUCAAAGUCGGACCUCUGCAUGGCAUCUAUGUAGGUGAUCAAAUCCUUGUUGUUCUCAUCGAGUUCAACAGGAUCACAUCCCAGAACUAAAAACUGAAGUAUCUAUCUGAC